AUGGCCGCGCGGAGGUCGUCUGGACCAUCAGCCAAGGGCCAGGGCCGGACCGCUUCGUCGAAGCCGUCCACGGGUGAGUCCCUUUGCCGCUCGGAGCGCCCCUUCGGGCCCGCCUGCUCCUCCAUGGGCAGCGGCGGCGAUGGCAGCCCCUGGGCGCCCGCCGGCCGGCCUGACCGCCGCCUUUUGUUCGCCAAUCCGCAGGACCGACGCCUACUUCGCCCACUUGGAGCCGACCGCCGGCUUGGCGGACACCCUGGCGCUCGGCCAGAACCUGCGCGUCGACCAAGGGUUACCGACCCCUCCCACCCUACGGAACUCCGCCGUCCAGCUCCCGAGCACCGCCAGGACCCCAGCAUCCAUACCAGAGCGCAGAGUGUUGCUUCCCCUAGACGAGUUCUUGAACCUUGUGAGCAUCACACUUGUCUCCAGGAACCGCUAGGCCCAGUGGGCUUCGCCCGCCCCGCCGUUCCGCUCGCAAUAAAUCUGCUCUAUUUGGCCA
rnacentral:lncRNA from 1 species